UACAGAGGUCUCGAGCGUUAGGCGGAAUCACUGGGCUUAAAGCGUGUGUAGGUGGAUCGUUAAGUACCUUGUGAAAUCCCACGGCUUAACCGUGGAACUGCUUGGUAUACUGGCGGUCUUGAGCCACUUAGGGGCUACCGGAACAAAUGGUGGAGCGGUGAAAUGCGUAGAUAUCACUUGGAACGCCAAAGGUGAAGACAGUCUGCUGGGGACUUGCUGACGCUGAGACACGAAAGCCAGGGGAGCGAACGGG
rnacentral:rRNA from 1 species